UAUAGGUACUUGACUCUUCGUCUUAUUUAAAAAAAAUUGUGAUUAAUGUUUUUAUUGUUAAUAGAUGGUAAAAUAUGAAUAAUACUUUAUACGUGACUAAUUUUUUAAAGUUUUUAUACAAAUUUUUCAAAUAAGACAAAUGGUCAAACGCUUAGACACGAAAAUCGA
rnacentral:pre_miRNA from 1 species